rnacentral:rRNA from 1 species
UACAGAGGGUGCAAGCGUUGCUCGGAAUCAUUGGGCGUAAAGGGUAGGUAGGUGGUCUCAUUUGUCUGGGGUGAAAGCCCAGGGCUUAACCCUGGAAGUGCCCCGGAAACGGUGAGACUGGAGUACUGGAGAGGGUCGUGGAAUUCCCGGUGUAGCGGUGAAAUGCGUAGAGAUCGGGAGGAACACCGGUGGCGAAGGCGGGUCUCUGGGCCGAUACUGACGCUGAGGAGCGAAAGCGUGGGGAGCGAACAGG